rnacentral:miRNA from 1 species
CAGGGCGGGUGGGGAGGCUGGA